GACGAACGCUGGCGGCGUGCUUAACACAUGCAAGUCGAACGGUAAGGCCCUUCGGGGUACGCGAGUGGCGAACGGGUGAGUAACACGUGGGUGAUCUGCCCUGCACUUCGGGAUAAGCCUGGCAAACUGCGUCUAAUACCGGAUAGGACCUAUGCCUACAUGGGUGGUGGUGGAAAGCUUUUGCGGUGUGGGAUGGGCCCGCGGCCUAUCAGCUUGUUGGUGGGGUGAUGGCCUACCAAGGCGACGACGGGUAGCCGGCCUGAGAGGGUGACCGGCCACACUGGGACUGAGAUACGGCCCAGACUCCUACGGGAGGCAGCAGUGGGGAAUAUUGCACAAUGGGCGCAAGCCUGAUGCAGCGACGCCGCGUGAGGGAUGACGGCCUUCGGGUUGUAAACCUCUUUCAGCACCGACGAAGCGCAAGUGACGGUAGGUGCAGAAGAAGGACCGGCCAACUACGUGCCAGCCGCCGCCGUAA
rnacentral:rRNA from 1 species